UAACAGGCCCUGAGGACCCUGAGUGUCAGA
rnacentral:piRNA from 1 species